rnacentral:piRNA from 1 species
UGCAGUAACCACUCUUUGGUCCUCAUGGG